GAACUACUGGAGUCUGGAAAUCACAAGGAGCCGCUUCCCUCUUCCCUCUUCCCUCUUCCCUCUUCCCUCUUCGGACUUCCCUCUAGUCUACGCAUGCUGCUGGUAGCCGCUUCCCUCUAGUCGCCGCUGCCCUCUUCCCUUUAGUCUUCUUCAUCCUCAGCCUCAAGAUCAAACAUACGAUGAUGUGGUCUCAAAUCUUAAUCUCUCAAGCUCUCAUCUUCCUCAAAUUUUUAAACUCUGAUUUCCUUUGUAAGAGGUAAGGUAUUUAUUUAAUUAUUUUAUUUUAUUUUAUUUUAUUUACUGUCUCAGACUCUCUCUGAUUCUGAUAAAAUCAAAGAAGCCAUUGCUGGUUCAGAUAUAAGGCUUUACACUUUGUAUUCUGCUUAUGUGCUCUUGUUACUCAAUUUGAACAUUUGUUAAAUAGUUCUCAGGUAUUUAUUGCAUCCCUUGUUUUGGAUUUGAUUGUAAAUGCAUCCACUUGCUGAUAUUGUUGAUUAUUCACAAUAGAAUGAAGCAAUUUUAUAAGUGAAAAAUAUUUGAUGGGAGAUAAGAAGUGCGAUUACUUUGAUGGUAAUUUUUUUUUUUGAAUGCUGUCUGGGUUGGAGCUGGAGCUGGAACUGGAACUGGAACUGGAAUUGGACGGCAGUGGAGGAGGAGGAGGAAGAGCUGAUUAAUUUCAACUCUCUGGACCUCUUCUAAUCGAUUGAUUGCUCUCAUUUUGGAAGACCCAUUACCGGAUUUUCCCCGAAAUUUUUAUCUUUGUAAUGCUUUAUAGCUUAUUGUAGUGAAAUAAAAGUCCUGGUUUAUACUGUUCUGUUUCAGAAGUUGCUGUUCAGAAUGAAAUCCUAUUUUUCCUGCAAUCACGAUGAACAUUUUGUUGUUUCAUCCCUACUAGUUUUGCUUAUAACUUUGGCUCUC